UACGUAGGGGGCGAGCGUUGUCCGGAAUUAUUGGGCGUAAAGAGCUUGUAGGCGGUUUGUCGCGUCUGCUGUGAAAUUUCGGGGCUCAACCCCGAACUUGCAGUGGGUACGGGCAGACUAGAGUGUGGUAGGGGAGACUGGAAUUCCUGGUGUAGCGGUGAAAUGCGCAGAUAUCAGGAGGAACACCGAUGGCGAAGGCAGGUCUCUGGGCCAUAACUGACGCUGAGAAGCGAAAGCAUGGGGAGCGAACAGG
rnacentral:rRNA from 1 species